GCAAGUCGAACGAUGAACCUUAGCUUGCUAAGGGGAUUAGUGGCGAACGGGUGAGUAAUAUAUCGGAACGUACCUUGUAAUGGGGGAUAACUAGUCGAAAGAUUAGCUCAUACCGCAUACGCUCUGUGGGGGAAAGUAGGGGAUCUUCGGACCUUACGUUAUAGGAGCGGCCGAUGUCUGAUUAGCUAGUUGGUGGGGUAAUGGCCUACCAAGGCGACGAUCAGUAGCUGGUCUGAGAGGACGACC
rnacentral:rRNA from 1 species